GAAAGAACCCUAAGAAGUUUCAGUCCGGCCCUGGACCACAGUUUGUUUGUUUUUGUGGUCAUGAAAUUCAGAUCUUGGAGGAGGCGGAGCCUGUGGCGGGACACAGCUGCAGCUGUGGAGGUCAUCAUCGUUUUAUAUGCGACUAACAGCUUUCAGAAACUGUUUCCGGGAAGAGAGCAGGACUGUAAGAGUGCUGGUGACAUCACUUCCUCUUCCCGCCAUGUGUCCGUUGGCUCUAAACGAGACACGCCCUCCAAACGAUGACGCGUUUCCUCUUUGUUUUGUCUAAAUGCUCAACACCUGCGCUCCUCCUUAGAGUCAGUACAGUGUAAAUAUUGUCAUAUAAGUGAAUGAAGUGUACCUGCUGUCUGUGUCGGUGACAGGAAAUGGGAGAGGGGGCAAUCAGCCAAUCAUCACCCAGCAAAGCUUUAAGAAUGUUCUGCCAAAGUCGUCUUUUUCUUCUGCACAAGUUUGUCACCCCCUCCCCUCGCCUCGCUUCUCCUCCCUCCUGUCUGGAUAAGAGUGCCCCCCCGCCGCCCGCCCCGCUCUCGCCAUCGCCUCACUGUGGCCGCGGUGGUCAUGUGUUGGACUGCUUGGACUGGUUGCCCCUCACGUCUCAUGCCAGCUGCACAAGCAGAGCCAUGCAAUCAGAGACUCUGCGGCGGCCUGUUUGUGCUCCUGGUUUCAGUCACGUCGCAAACAAAAAACAGUCCGGACGAGACUCAGCAGACUGAAAAUCCUCACCUGGAUUUAGUUUUUCGAAAGUUCAUUUCUGGACUAGAUAAGAUCUCAUUUUGCCACAGAUCUUCUUUUCUUUUCUUCCCUCAUUAGGACUUCUGUAUGGAGAAGGAACUCACGUCUUAUCCGGUCACUGUUGCAUUUUGACUGCGUUGCUUCUUCUUCUUCAGAGCACUGCCUUUUUUCACAACAGGAAAUCUUUAGAGAACCUUCACGACCACAUCAAACUUUAACAAAGAAAAAAAAGGGGUUCAAUCGAACUGGAAUAUCACAGCUGGAAAAGUCAUAACCAUUUAACAUAUAUAUCUAUAUAUUUAUAUAGUAUAUCUAUGUAUUUAUAUCUAAUAUGUGUGUAUAUAUAUAUAUUUAUAUGUAUAUAUGUAUUAGAUAUAAAUACAUAGAUGUAUAAGGUUUCUCAGUUGAACUUCAUUGCAAAAAAGACUGAAAGUUUUUUUCUGUAAUUACUAUGAUACACAGUAAUAGGCGUUGGUGUUAUUUUUGUAUAAACAUAAUAUCAUCUAUGUGGCAUGCAUGACAUAUAUACAAAAUUUGGUGGUUUAAAGCAAUAUGUCCAACCUGGUGCGAUUGGUUUCCGUCGUGUUCUGUGUAUCCUAAAAUCACUCUGUACGGGAAAAAAAAGAUAAAAAAAACCAAACAAAAAAAAGAGAAACUGCAUUUGGAUAAAACUAACUGUUCAGUAUAUGUGUUCAAUGUUCUGUGUUCUGCAUGUUUUAGUAUGGAAUGAAACAUCCCAAACGUUGACUUGUUUUCCAAAUGAAUCUGAGUUACACGCCCCCCAACACAUGCACCAUUACACACACACGGGUAUGUGCACUGUGAGGUGAAACACUGAGGAAAUUAAAACUGUGCGACUUCUGGUGGAUGGAUUGAUGAAAGAUGAAGAUUCUUCUUUUUUUUCAUCAUCUCCACUCAUCACGUCUCUCCUCUCUCCUCAUUCUCUUUCAUAUCACACGAACACUCACUUUUACAGACUCUCCUGAACUCAUCACCCCCUUGUGUGCAGUAAGAGGAGGAGGAGGGAGGAAGGUGAUGGCAAUUAAACAGGCCUGAAACAUUCAGCAUGAUGUGGUUCAGGUGGGCGUCCAUUCAUCUCACUGAUCGCAUCCAUCGAUCCGUUAUCCUCCUGACUCUCUCUACAGGCUAUGCUGGACAGAAAAAUGAGGAUAAUGGAGUCAUCAUGUGAUAUCAUUUAGGGAUUUGAACUAUUUUUUAGCUGUGAAAUGUGGGCUCUGCCUUGUUUCCCCAUUUUCAAUUGAUUCGACAUCUGUUUACCCUCCAUGUAAUACAAAGAAAAACAGCCCCGCUCCCUAUUUUAGUGUUAAAAUCUCAAGCGGCACCUAAUUGUGUCCAGCGGCGGGCAAAAUGCCACAAAGUUUCCUGUUUAAAGACACAAAAUAAAUCCUUUAGUCCUUCAGUUUCCACAAAAGAGAAUGACAUUUUACUUCAAGCCUACAUUAAUAAACAGCUGCAGCUUAGAUACAAACUUCAGUUAGAUACAAAUAAUUAUGGACUCAAUGUUUAUUUGAGAUUUUUUUUUGUUUUUUUCAGGCUGUAGAAUUUAGCAUCACAGUGGAAGUGACUGCGUUAAAGUGCAUGAAGCAUGAAAUCUGACAGCAGGGUCGCUGACAGGAUUAAAGCAACACUGAGGUCAUGAACACAAUUCACCCCCCAGCACAAACAAAGAUAAAAUGUUUGUCUCUAAUUAUUUUGAUCCUUAUUAAGUCUGCAACUCUGUUAUCAGCGUUCUGUUUCCCAACAUCAUUGAGUAAACUUGAAACUUGAAAUUAAUGCCUAAAAGUAGUGAAAUGUACAAGUUCCAAACUGCAUUUCUUUCUUUCUUGUAAAACACUGUUUAUGUGUCCAAGUUGUAAUACUUUUCAGCUUCAGUCGAAAUAACAUGAAUCAAAACAAUGUUAAAAAGUGCUUUACAAAAACAUGUGAUGCGACGAGAUUAAACAAAGAUUAAAAUCCCAAAAUUCAACCGUGCUCUGUCAUCACGGCUGACCAGUGUUGGUUAUCUGGUCAAGAAUAGAAUAUCAGAGUAACCAUUGGACGCUCUGUCAGAACUGAAAUCUCUGCACAAACAUUCGUGAAAGGGAAUCUUCUCCCUGUGGGAUAAGGGAACACCGUGACGGAUGAGAAAGCCUGGGUGGCUUCUUGGCAUCCACAGAUCUGGUUGGCCACAGCGGCGAUCAGACUCCCUGAAAGAAAAAUCCUUCACACAGACUUUCCCUUCAGUGCUAACACGAGGGUGACAUUUUAGUGAAGUAUCUGGACACUUUAUUGGAUGUACUGACAUGGACUUUCGCACAAAACAUCUGUUACACCUUUGAAUGAGAUGUAACAGCUUUGGUGGUCCUUUAGCUUUCCAUCGGCUGAAACACAGAGGUCGUGACCUCUGUGUCUUCGGUCCUGUCUGCUAGACUCUGAGCCGCAGCGGUGGUUUGUUGUUUGAGCCAAAAUAAAACGUCCUGUGCUUCCCUGAGUGAGUGUGUUCGUGUGGAUGUAUUGGCUCGAUGAAGGUGUGUUUCCUCAGUGCGUGUCUGUGUGUGUGUGUGUGUCACUUUCCCUGUCGUUCACUCCCAUCCUGUCCGUUCCUGUCAGACACCCUCCUCCUGUUUGCUUCAAUCUAUGCAACAGAAUCCUUCAGUUCGCCUCCAGUGGUUCAUCCGGUUUCUCUCCCUCGCGCUCUCACUCUGUCCGCUCGUCUCCGUCUUUAUCUGCUUUUUGUGUUCCAGUUCUUUGUACAGACAGAACCACGACACCACCUGUACACUGAUAUAUGUCUGUGCGUGUGUGUGUGCGUGUGUGUGUGUGUUUGUGUAUAGCAGCUGUGUGCAGACAGAUGCACAUACACACACGCAAGCGCGCACACGUUUUCUUUACUCUUUUGUAAAAUAUGAACAUGUGGAAUGCCUUGGUCUUAGUGUCAUGUCGUUUGAACUUAAGCUGAACAAAAGAUGAUAAUCAAGCAACUGAGUACAAGUUGUUACAUAAAUAUAUAUAUAUAAUAUAUAAAUAUAUAUAUAUAAAUAUAUACAAAUCUAUACACAUAAAAUAAAG
ensembl:lncRNA